CAAGAUUAAGCCAUGCAUGUCUCAGUAUAAGCCUUCCUUAGUGCGAAACCGCACACGGCUCAUUAAAUCAGUCAUAAUUUAUUGGAUGACAGUUACCUGAGUAACCUCGGAUAACUGUGGCAAUACUAGAGCUAAUACGUGCGAAUAAGUUCUGACGCCCUCGUGUAAGGAAAAAUGCGAAGUUUGAAAAGAGAGGGCUCGCCUUCUCUCCCUUCUUCUUCCAUCCUUCUCGGGGGCGGAUGAGCGCAGUUAUUAGAACCAUAAACCGAGCCGGGAUCUCGAUCUCGCGUUCGAGGUUAUGGUGACUCUGGAUAACGAUAGCUUAGCGUUGAGGCCUUUUGAGCCGGCGCUGCAUCUUUUCGAGUGACUGCCCUAUCAGCUAUGUAUCGUAGGAUCGGGGCCUACGAUGGCUGUAACGGGUAACGGGGAAUCAGGGUUCGAUUCCGGAGAGGGAGCCUUAGAAACGGCUACCACAUCUAAGGAAGGCAGCAGGCACGCAAAUUACCCAUUCCCAGAUCGGGGAGGUAGUGACGAUAAAUACCGAUGCGGGACUCAACCGAGGCCUCGCAAUCGGAAUGAGUUUAAUUUAAAUAAGUGGUCGAGGAUCAAUUGGAGGGCAAGUCUGGUGCCAGCAGCCGCGGUAAUUCCAGCUCCAAUAGCGUAUAUUAAAGUUGCUGCGGUUAAAAAGCUCGUAGUUGGAACUCCAAAUCUGUUCCGGGCGGUCCGCCUCGAACGGGGUCGCGGCCCCUCGCACUAAGCCCUUUCGCUUCCCGGCGAGCCUUCGGCGAGUUCGGCUCCGUCAUCCCUUCACACUCGUCUUCCGUACACUGCUGGGUUUCGUCAUACGGAUCGCGAUAUCGUUGCCGCGGUUCUCGCUCGUGUCUCACGUUCUUCUCCGGAAGGCGUAGUACGGGCGGGGCUCGGUUAACGCGCGUUCUUAAAAAGACACUCCCGCUAAAGCCGUUGCGGUCCGACGAUGUAAGGGUGAUGGGUAAAAAGCCCUCGUCGAAAAGACGCCUGGGGUCAAAAAGCGUUUGUGGCCGCGAGGAAAGUCGUUGUGCUCCGUUUCUGAGGUCCGGAUUAACCGUCCAGACACGGAGUGAAACUAAAAUAAACCAUCGCCGGCGCUCGAGGGGUGCUCUUUACCGAGUGUCUCGCGUGGCCGGCGACGAUCACUUUGAACAAAUUAGAGUGCUCAAAGCAGGCACAAAAAUCAAUACGCCCGAAUAUUAAUGCAUUGGAUGAUGGAACAUGACCUCGGUUCUGAUUCUUUUUCUCGGUUUUAACCGAACCCGAGGUAAUGAUUAACGGGAACGGGCGGGGGCAUUAGUACUGCGGCGCGAGGGGUGAAAUCCAUUGACCGUCGCAUGACUACCUACUGCGAAAGCAUUUGCCAAGUACGUUUCCAUUAAUCAAGAACGAAAGUUAGAGGAUCGAAGGCGAUCAGAUACCGCCCUAGUUCUAACCGUAAACUAUGCCAACUAGCGAUGAGUGUACAGUCAAUCCCAAGACUGCGCUCGCAGCCCCCGGGAAACCGAAGUUUUUGGGUUCCGGGGGUAGUAUGGUUGCAAAUCUGAAACUUAAAGGAAUUGACGGAAGGGCACCACCAGGAGUGGAGCCUGCGGCUUAAUUUGACUCAACACGGGAAAACUUACCAGGCCCGGACACCGGAAGGAUUGACAGAUUGAGAGCUCUUUCUCGAUUCGGUGGCUAGUGGUGCAUGGCCGUUCUUAGUUGGUGGAGCGAUUUGUCUGGUUAAUUCCGAUAACGAACAAGACUCUAGCCUAUUAAAUAGUAGGCGGAUCGUUUCCCUAGGCGGGCGCGUUCUCGCUUCCUCUCCUUCGGUCGGCGUUCGCCGUCGUUGUUCGAAGUCCGCGGUUUGGCGCUUUCGCCCUCUCUCUCCGUCGGUGUUGGUCGGUUGUAGUAGUAGUCGCGCUAACGCGUUGCUGCUGCUGCAUCCCGACCUCGCCACGGAGGAUGGUGAGAGCCCACGCGUGGCCGAGGACGCGAUGACGACGUCGGUUAAGCCGGGGGUCGGGGGGCUUACGGGCGCGUCCACACCCUAGGGGCGUCCGUCGUAAUCUUCUUAGAGGUACCGGCGGUCUCGAACCGUACGAGAAAGAGCAAUAACAGGUCUGUGAUGCCCUUAGAUGUCCUGGGCCGCACGCGUGCUACAAUGGAGGGAUCAACGUGUUCUCCCACCCCGUGAGGAGUUGGGUAACCCGGUGAAACCCUUUCCCGAUUGGGAUUGGGGUUUGCAAUGGUUUCCCAUAAACGAGGAAUCCCUUGUAAGCGUGGGUCAAGAACUCGCGAUGAAUACGUCCCUGCCCUUUGUACACACCGCCCGUCGCUACUACCGAUGAAUGAUUAAGUGAGAGCGUCGGAUCGGCCUCCACGGGCAGCCCUCGUAUAUAAUAGAAGCUUAGUUCGCUAGGCGAUAAAAAUACGGGAAAAGCGCCCUAGGCAUAGCCGCAAAGACGUACGAACUUGAUCAUUUAGAGGAAGUAAAAGUCGUAACAAGGUAUCUGUAGGUGAACCUG
rnacentral:rRNA from 1 species